rnacentral:misc_RNA from 1 species
GCAGUCUAGGGUUUCAUCUCCUUCGACCUCGUCGCCAUGGCUCGCCGCUCCGGUGGAGGAAGAUCUGCCCCUCGUCCUGCUGCCCGGGCCCCAGCGAGGAACCCCCCUCAGCCAGUUCGUCAGGCACCACCACCAGCUACUGCUCAGGCAGGCGGAUCUUCGAUGCUCGGGGGGCUUGGUGCCACCAUCGCACAAGGUAUGGCUUUUGGUACCGGAAGUGCUGUUGCGCACAGGGCCGUCGAUGCUAUUGCAGGCCCUCGCACAAUUCAACAUGAGAACGCUACUGCUUCCGAACCUACUGCUACUACUACUGGAGGCGAUGCAUGCAACAUCCAUACAAAGGCCUUCCAAGAUUGCAUCAACAGCAAUGGGAGCGACAUUGGCAGGUGUCAGUUCUAUUUGGAUAUGCUGACUGAAUGCCGCCGUGGUUCUACAUUGAAUGCCUGAAAUCAAUUGAAUGCCUGAAAUCAAUUCACUGGUUUCUGAACUAUUUUAUUCUUAAGCACCAAUAAAUAGAUUGGAUGUUGGGACACUUGUUUCUGUUUAAUGAUGUUCGAGACUUUGAAGGCUCAUGUUUAUGAUGUGUCUGGAUAAUUUAUGAAUCUAUU